AGUGAACGCUGGCGGCAGGCCUAAUACAUGCAAGUCGAACGGCAGCACAGCAGAGCUUGCUCUGUGGGUGGCGAGUGGCGGACGGGUGAGGAAUACAUGGGAAUCUGCCCAGUCGUGGGGGAUAACGUAUGGAAACGUACGCUAAUACCGCAUGCGCCCUAAGGGGGAAAGCCGGGGACCGCAAGGCCUGGCGCGAUUGGAUGAGCCCAUGUUCGAUUAGCUAGUUGGCGGGUAAAGGCCCACCAAGGCGACGAUCGAUAGCUGGUCUGAGAGGAUGAUCAGCCACACUGGAACUGAGACACGGUCCAGACUCCUACGGGAGGCAGCAGUAGGGAAUAUUGGACAAUGGGGGCAACCCUGAUCCAGCCAUGCCGCGUUCGAGUGAAGAAGGCCCUCGGGUUGUAAAGCUCUUUUGUCCGGAAGAAAGCAAUCGGUUAAUACCCGGUUGUUCUGACGGUACCGGAAGAAUAAGCACCGGCUAACUUCGUGCCAGC
rnacentral:rRNA from 1 species